rnacentral:rRNA from 1 species
UACGUAGGGUGCGAGCGUUAAUCGGAAUUACCGGGCGUAAAGCGUGCGUAGGCGGUUCGUUAAGUUCGUUGUGAAAGCCCCGGGCUCAACCUGGGAAUAGCAAUGGAAACUGGCGGGCUGGAGUAUGGCAGAGGGGGGUGGAAUUCCGCGUGUAGCAGUGAAAUGCGUAGAGAUGCGGAGGAACACCGAUGGCGAAGGCAGCCCCCUGGGCCAAUACUGACGCUCAGGCACGAAAGCGUGGGGAGCAAACAGG